CAUUAAAAAACCAAACAAACAAGCAAACAAACAGAAGGCCUGUAGUGAUCUCUAAAGAGUGCCUUUGGAAAGACAGAGGUGGAAAAAUCCCAUAGAAAAGGUUCAGCUCAGUGAAGGAAGUAUCAGCCAAAAUGAAAUACAGACUGGUCAGCAAAGUAUCAGGAUAUAAGAAGCUUAACACCCAUAACGGGCUGUGUUUAAGAUUGUUUUCAGCACCUAAGGGAGUGCCCAACAACUGGGGGAUGACUAAACAAGUUGUGGUAUGUGAAUGUGGCUGAAUACUAUUGUGUUGUAAAAAAUGAUGAAGGAGAUGGUUUCCAAGGAACCUGGGAAGACAAAAUGGAGUAAGCAAAGCCAGGAGGAGGAUUUAAGCAGUAACAGCAAUCGUAAGGACAAACAACCUUUAAAGACUUGGGAACUGAUUAAUUACCCCAAUGACCAGACAUCAUUCCAGAGGACGCCUGAUGAAUUGUGUUCAUUUCUGGAAAGGAAGAUAGAGGAGAUCCUUGAGAGAAGAACAUUUGAAAAGAUUCCUCCAUAUCACACUGAUGGUUAGCAUCCCUUAGAAACCCUUCAGAAUGGCAAAGUUGGGGAGUGGAAAAGGAAAAUGAGAAAUGCUGAAGAGAGGGAAGAAGAGAGAUGGAGAGAAAGUGUGUUGAAUAAAAAAAAUGUUUUAAGGAGAAAAGAAGGAAAAUAUAGAGCUAAUGGAAAAAAUAAAA